AGGACGAACGCUGGCGGCGUGCUUAACACAUGCAAGUCGAGCGGUAAGGCCUUUCGGGGUACACGAGCGGCGAACGGGUGAGUAACACGUGGGUGAUCUGCCCUGCACUUCGGGAUAAGCCUGGGAAACUGGGUCUAAUACCGGAUAUGACCUCCUAUCGCAUGGUGGGUGGUGGAAAGAUUUAUCGGUGCAGGAUGGGCCCGCGGCCUAUCAGCUUGUUGGUGGGGUAAUGGCCUACCAAGGCGACGACGGGUAGCCGACCUGAGAGGGUGACCGGGCCACGACUGGGACCUGAGACACGGCCCAGACUCCUACGGGAGGCAGCAGUGGGGAAUAUGCACAAUGGGCGAAAGCCUGAUGCAGCGACGCCGCGUGAGGAUGACGGCCUUCGGGUUGUAAACCUCUUUCAGCAGGGACGAAGCGCAAGUGACGGUACCUGCAGAAGAAGCACGGCUAACACGUGCAGCAGCGAC
rnacentral:rRNA from 1 species